UGUAUUUAUUGGGUACACAAAUA
rnacentral:siRNA from 1 species